CGGGGAUUAGUUCACUGGCAGAACGUGGGCUUUGGGAGCUCAAUGUACGAGGUUCGAUUCCUCGAUCUCCGA
rnacentral:tRNA from 2 species